GAGUUUGAUCCUGGCUCAGGACGAACGCUGGCGGCGUGCUUAACACAUGCAAGUCGAGCGAUGAAGCUCCUUCGGGAGUGGAUUAGCGGCGGACGGGUGAGUAACACGUGGGUAACCUGCCUCAUAGAGGGGAAUAGCCUUCCGAAAGGAAGAUUAAUACCGCAUAAGAUUGUAGUUUCGCAUGAAACAGCAAUUAAAGGAGUAAUCCGCUAUGAGAUGGACCCGCGUCGCAUUAGCUAGUUGGUGAGGUAACGGCCCACCAAGGCGACGAUGCGUAGCCGACCUGAGAGGGUGAUCGGCCACAUUGGGACUGAGACACGGCCCAGACUCCUACGGGAGGCAGCAGUGGGGAAUAUUGCACAAUGGGGGAAACCCUGAUGCAGCAACGCCGCGUGAGUGAUGAAGGUCUUCGGAUUGUAAAACUCUGUCUUCAGGGACGAUAAUGACGGUACCUGAGGAGGAAGCCACGACUAACUACGUGCCAGCAGCCGCGGUAAUACGUAGGUGGCAAGCGUUGUCCGGAUUUACUGGGCGUAAAGGGAGCGUAGGUGGAUAUUUAAGUGGGAUGUGAAAUACUCGGGCUUAACCUGAGUGCUGCAUU
rnacentral:rRNA from 1 species